UCACCACCUGCUGAAACUGCAAGUCCGAAAGCCUAAAACCCCGAUUGUUGGUAGCCGUUAUUCCAACAGUGACACAUUCCCGCCACUCAAACCCUUCGCAAUUUGCAGAAAACCAGAGAUAAAGAGAUGUUGAAGGCCAAGAGUUUGAGCAAAGUAGCGGUGCCGCCUUCACUCAUACACAAUCCUUCUCCCGCUAACAUCCAAUCCACUCGCCUCGCUCUCCAUGUUAGCGAGGAUGGCUCUUCUUGUUGGCUCUACAUCGCCUCCGGCUGCCAAAUCUACAAGCUACAGGUUGCGUUGGAUGAUUCUCUGGUCAGUGAAGGGAAAGAUAGCCUUCUGAUCCCUGUACACAGGCAGGUUAUGAACUCAUUUAUGGUUAAUCGGUGCCCACAUCGUUCAGAAAUUCAGAGUAUGGUGCUUGCUGAAACUGAGAGCACUGGCAAUUCAAUGUUGGGAACUGUGGAUUCUUAUGGUCACCUUAUUGUAUCUAAACUGGACACUAAUGGUGAAGAUGUAGAGAGGCUUACUUAUUCAGUAUUACCUCGUGAUUGCGGCAUUGGAGAGAGUGGGUGGGCAGGUCUUUGCUUCAAUCCAAUACAAUUGUCCACGGCAGCUGUUGCACGUAGCUUCUGCAAAACCAUUGAUGUUUAUGACCAGGAUAUCCACGUUAGGACAUUAUGUACACUCUUGUAUCCAACAUCACUGAGCUUCAUGCAAAGUUCGCGUUAUGGAAAUGAAAGUUCUAUAUUAGCUGUCACUGAAGGUUGCCAGCUGAGUAUAUGGGACUUGAGAAUGAAAGAAAAUGGCGGCUGUCUACAACGAAUAUGUGGUUCCCUUGGUGAUGUCUUCUACACUGUAUGCAGUUCCUCAACUGGAAAUAUUGCAGUCGGUGGAGCUGAUCGUACAGUGACAAUCUAUGAUCCUCGCAGAUGGGCAUCACUAUCAAGAUGGGUGAACUGCUCGAAAUAUGAGAUAACUGGACUUGCUUUCUCUUCAGUUGACUCCAACCAUAUCUAUAUACAAGGGGUUGAUUACGAGGUCUUCUGUGGAGACUGGAAAAGAAACAGCAAGUUAUUUUCCUUUAGAGGAGAUUCAAAUUGGCUUGGUUUUAGCAAGUGCCAGAACAGUGAUGUUGUCGGUGGAUGGUGUGACUCGGGUAGCAUCUUUGUGGCUAAUGUUGUAGCUGAAGAGGGUGAAACAAUGUUUCGCUGAUGAAUUUCCCUAGUGCUUGUUCAAGCAUCUCUCAUCUAUGUUCUACACUAUCAACACAGACAGAGGGCCUCAUCUUUUGGGUUUUGGUUAUUUGCUCGACCCAGAGAGAGAUGGAGUGAAGUAAAUAGGAAGAAAGGAGAGAAGACGAGGCCAUCCCUUCAAAAUGUCCAUCGCUAGGGUGGAGUUUGCCAGUGGAGGCUUAAUCGUGGACACCAAGGUGUUCUAUUGGCCAAGAAAGGUCUUUUGCUAUGGAUUUCCGGUAUUUGUGUAGAUUUGGAUCCUUCUCAGCUUUGCUGAUUAAAAUUUUUCGGUGAAGGAUUGGAUUUAGUGUGCUUAGCUUUGCUGAUUGAAGAAGAUGAAUGGGAAAAUGAGCUCUUCUUCAACUUCAGAAGAAAGUGAAAGAUAAGAUUGAAAAGAAGAGGGGGGCUUACCAAAAUUAGGGGUUUAAGACAAAGCAAGCAAGCAAGCACCCUGAUCACACUGACUGGGGAUCUCACUCAUUGAUAUGGCCAUUACCUAAGGUCUCCAUUGUUUUCACCUGUCAUGAGUCAGUAGCUGACCCUGCAGCACUCAAAUCAAAUUGCCUAAUUGUACAGCUGAUUCUCCUGCAAAGAUGCAUUCUUAUGCUUAAAACGGUUGCUACCUUGAGGAGAGAUGCAGCUGCUCAGGAGCUGAUGUGUGCCUGGAAUGCUGGCCGCUUAUGACAAUUGCUAUUAAAGUGAUUGACACUGCCUUUUGAGAUGACUUUGGUUUCAAUGACAUUCUUUGGGUAUACAGUGGCCGACAUGGUGUUCACUAUUGGGUUUGUGAUGAGAAAGCUGGAAGGAACACAGUGUAGAGAGUUAGAGAAUUAGUUCAGUGGGGGAUUUUUAGAUUGUGAGCACAUGCAGAGGACGUUAGCCAAGGAAUUUCAACACAUGAAAUCUAAGUAUGCAAAGGUUUAGAGAAUUGAUUACUAUAGCUUUGGUGAUUGUUAUCUCCCUGUCUUAUGAAUGUUGGUUCUCUACUAAUUUUUAUUUUUAGAUCGGAGGUUUUUGUACUUGACAUCUUUUUAUUGCAACUGGAUAUUAGGUGGUAUUGUUUUCUGACCAUAAUUCCGUCUUUGGAUUUGUUUUAGAUUGGUUUCUAGGUAUAGGUACUUCCAUGUACUUUUUUGAACAAUCAGUUACAUUAUUUUUGUAAUCUUGGCUUCUA